rnacentral:rRNA from 1 species
GAGUAACGCGUAUGCAACCUACCUAUCAGGAGGGGAAUAACCCGGCGAAAGUCGGACUAAUACCGCAUAAAACAGGGGCACCGCAUGGUGAUAUUUGUUAAAGAGAUUCGCUGAUAGAUGGGCAUGCGUUCCAUUAGGUAGUUGGUGAGGUAACGGCUCACCAAGCCGACGAUGGAUAGGGGAACUGAGAGGUUGGUCCCCCCACACUGGUACUGAGACACGGACCAGACUCCUACGGGAGGCAGCAGUGAGGAAUAUUGGUCAAUGGGGCGGGAGCCUGAACCAGCCAAGUCGCGUAGAAGGAAGAAGGAUCUAUGGUUCGUAAACUUCUUUUGCAGGGGAAUAAAGUGCAGGACGUGUCCUGUUUUGUAUGUACCCUGAGAAUAAGGAUCGGCUAACUCCGUGCCAGCCGCAGC